rnacentral:misc_RNA from 1 species
GAUUCAACUAGACUAUCUCACCACCAGACCAUGAAUGCCACUGGUAUGGAGCAAAAACGUUUCAAUAUGGAUUCAUUGAGGUUUUGAAAUAGGAAAUUACAAAAGAUACUGUCAUCCCAAAGGCCACAAAGAACAAAAUAAAGUUGUUAAAAUCUAAACCAUAAUGUUGAUGAUUUUCACUCUUCCAUUGCAUCAUUUCCUUCAGUAACUUCCUCUUUAUGCUUCAAUGGUGUAAUCUUUGUUAAAAGGACCUCGGUCUUCUUUGGAAAAGUGUACCCUCUUGAACUGAUAUAGGUACGUGGAUUCGGUAACAUGUGGUUUCUCAAGUAUUCCUUGUGUCCCUUUGUAAUAACACAAACAUCAACAUUGCUUCCACUUCCCAAGUCAUUGAAUACACCAGAGCAUAUCGCUUCACAGACAAGCUUUAUACCUUCAUCCCUAUUCAAUCCUUCUCUGUACUUUGAUUCAAAAAUAGC